GGACUGGGCAGCAGAUAAAGGCAUUCUGGCACCACCGAAAAGCUUGCACUCCUCGUCUCAACUAUCACCGUCUGGGGUUCAAGCUGAAGGCUGUCACCAGUGCCAACCAGACGCCCCUUCAAAGUUCAUCUGUUUUUGUUGACGGAACAGUGACACCUGGUAAACCUGUCACGCAGAUGCCCUACCCCUUGGUAUGCAUAGUUCAAGAUUGUACCGAAACAAUCCACCUGGAGCAUUAUUCUUCAAUUGGCAUUACUAUCACAACACACCACAUACUGCAUGUCUAUGGUGCGUGUACAAUGCAUCAAACCUAUUCUCAGGUACAGGCCAGCUGGUACGCAAUUACAACAUGAAACAACUGACACAGAGACCGUAAAGUCAUGCCUUUUCCUCCGCGCCUCGG